UACGUAGGGGGCAAGCGUUGUCCGGAUUUAUUGGGCGUAAAGAGCGUGUAGGCGGUUUGGUAGGUCCGCUGUGAAAACUCGAGGCUCAACCUCGAGACGCCGGUGGAAACCAUCAGGCUAGAGUCCGGAAGAGGGGAGUGGAAUUCCUGGUGUAGCGGUGAAAUGCGCAGAUAUCAGGUGGAACACCGGUGGCGAAGGCGGUGGUCUGGGCCGGCACUGACGCUGUAGAGCGAAAGCGUGGGGAGCGAACAGG
rnacentral:rRNA from 1 species